GUCUAACCUGCCCACUGAUUUUUAAAUGGCCGCAGUAUAUUGACUGUGCAAAGGUAGCAUAAUCAUUAGUCUUUUAAUUGAAGGCUGGAAUGAAUGGUUGGACGAAACAUUAACUGUUUUAUAUAAAUUUAAAAUAGAAUUUUAUUUUUUAGUAAAAAAGCUAGAAUAAAUUUAAAAGACGAGAAGACCCUAUAAAUCUUUAUAUAAGUUAUAUAUAGUAAUUAUAGAAAUUAAAUUUUAUAAAUAUAUAAUGAAAUAUUUUAUUGGGGUGAUAGUAAAAUUUAAUUAACUUUUAUUAAUUUUUAUUCAUUAAUUAAUGAAUUUUUGAUCCUAUAUUAUAGAUUAAAAGAAUAAGUUACUUUAGGGAUAACAGCGUAAUUUUUUUGGAGAGUUCAUAUCGAUAAAGAAGAUUGCGACCUCGAUGUUGGAUUAAGAUUAAAUUUAGGUGCAGAAGUUUAAAUUUUAAGUCUGUUCGACUUU
rnacentral:rRNA from 1 species